CCUACGGGAGGCAGCAGUGGGGAAUAUUGCACAAUGGGCGCAAGCCUGAUGCAGCCAUGCCGCGUGUGUGAAGAAGGCCUUCGGGUUGUAAAGCACUUUCAGCGGGGAGGAAGGCGUUAAGGUUAAUAACCUUGGCGAUUGACGUUACCCGCAGAAGAAGCACCGGCUAACUCAGUGCCAGCAGCCGCGGUAAUACGGAGGGUGCAAGCGUUAAUCGGAAUUACUGGGCGUAAAGCGCACGCAGGCGGUCUGUCAAGUCGGAUGUGAAAUCCCCGGGCUCAACCUGGGAACUGCAUUCGAAACUGGCAGGCUAGAGUCUUGUAGAGGGGGGUAGAAUUCCAGGUGUAGCGGUGAAAUGCGUAGAGAUCUGGAGGAAUACCGGUGGCGAAGGCGGCCCCCUGGACAAAGACUGACGCUCAGGUGCGAAAGCGUGGGGAGCAAACAGGAUUAGAUACCCCGGUAGUC
rnacentral:rRNA from 1 species